ensembl:lncRNA
AGCCACUACAUCUGUUUCUGCUUUCUGUUUUGUUUGCGGAUCCAGUAAAAAAAAAUAAUUACAUUGGCUUUACUCCUCUAGAUCUCGUGGACUGAAUCGAGAGGUGGUGAUCCGUUAAACGAGGGAAAAGGAAGAGAGUGGAAAAAGGCGCCUUGGACAAACAAUGAUUUUUUUGCAGAGAGAGUCGUGAAGCCUGUGGAUGGACGGAUGGAUGGAUGGAGGCAGAGUGAUGGAUGAAGAAGUGGAACGUGUUGACCAAGCCCUGAAAGGCCCAAUGCUUAAUCCAAAGUUGUUUGCACCGGCGGCUAGUCUGGCAGAAGGAAUAACAGGAGCAGGCACCCAGCAUCAGCAUCUCCACAGCUCAGCCCAGGGCCGUAUCUUCUCACUGCAUCCAAAGGAAGAUGGGAUACAGAAUGUUAUGAGAACUUCUUACUCAUUCAGUCCAAACGCUUGUGGGCAGCAAACAGAUUUAGACCCUCAACCUGCUCUGGUCCAGGCCUGGAGGUUCUAAAAACGUUUGCAGUUAUAAAGUCAUUAAAAGUUUGAAUGUCCUGCAGUGGAUGAGUGAAUUGUGUAUCUAUACAAAAACGAGGCGUAACGCUCAAAAAAAAAUAAGACCAUGGAAAUUCAAAGAAAUCAGACAGAUUACAUGUGACUGAGAGAUGUAAACCAAGCUGUUUAAAAGCAUCCAGAGUGAUCAUGCUGCCUAAAAAACUAACAUUUUUAUUUCCAAAAAAUGAAAAAUAUCCAGUAUGCCGAUUGCAUUUUUGUUGCGAAAAAACAACAAAGAUUAACUUCUUUUCAAAAUCGGACCAGUUUAUUUUGCAGCUGGUGUACGAACAGAGAUAAAAACAAAUAAAUAUCAAUAUCAAAUCACAACAGGACUUGUACACACAUAUGCAUCACUUAAUAUUAAAUACUAAAAUGAGGCGCCUAAUGUGGUAUAAAAGCAGACGCAUUAGGUCUGAUUUGUGCUAAGCUGGUCCACUCUUUUCUUGUCUGGGGCCUAAAUGAUUUUGAUUAAAUUAGAAGCGUUCAUAAUUUACUGGGAAAAUUGUAAAAUAAGUCAGUGCCAGCACACAACAGUGAUUUGUACCAAGUGAAAAACACUCUCAAGGAUUGAGGAUUUUGGCUGACCUUCCAGACCAAAGAGCUUUUUAUCUUAAAUGUUAGGAAAUGAAACCAUUUGUGUUUGCUUGAAUUAUCCAUGAUUGGAGCCAGACCUACCAAAUUAGAUGGAAAAAUGUUUGUCAUUUGAGGUGAAAUAACAUAUUAGAUAGAAGAUUGCUAUUUAGCAAUAGCAAUCUUCAAGAGCUAUUUGAAAUACCUGUCAAAGCAAACAGAACACAUUAACAUCAAUCACACUUAUUACAUUGAUGUUUUCCUUUUAGUGGUCAAGCUGACUGACACAAAUAUUUCUCUUUCGCGUAUUAUUUUAUACUGCCUGUUUGAACGAACAAGGGAAGCU